CUUCUGGGAAGCUUUCGCGGUAUGGGAUGGGGUCGCGUCCUAUCAGCUUGACGGCGGGGUAACGGCCCACCGUGGCUUCGACGGGUAGCCGGCCUGAGAGGGCGACCGGCCACAUUGGGACUGAGAUACGGCCCAGACUCCUACGGGAGGCAGCAGUGGGGAAUAUUGCACAAUGGGCGCAAGCCUGAUGCAGCGACGCCGCGUGAGGGAUGGAGGCCUUCGGGUUGUAAACCUCUUUUAUCGGGGAGCAAGCGAGAGUGAGUUUACCCGUUGAAUAAGCACCGGCUAACUACGUGCCAGCAGCCGCGGUAAUACGUAGGGUGCAAGCGUUAUCCGGAAUUAUUGGGCGUAAAGGGCUCGUAGGCGGUUCGUCGCGUCCGGUGUGAAAGUCCAUCGCUUAACGGUGGAUCCGCGCCGGGUACGGGCGGGCUUGAGUGCG
rnacentral:rRNA from 1 species